rnacentral:rRNA from 1 species
AGAGUUUGAUCCUGGCUCAGGAUGAACGCUAGCUACAGGCUUAACACAUGCAAGUCGAGGGGAAACGAUAUUGGAAGCCUGCUUCCGAUAGGCGUCGACCGGCGUACGGGUGAGUAACGCGUAUCCAACCUGCCCACCACUUGGGGAUAACCUUGCGAAAGUAAGACUAAUACCCAAUGAUAUCUCUAGAAGACAUCUGAAAGAGAUUAUAGAUUUAUCGGUGAUGGAUGGGGAUGCGUCUGAUUAGCUUGUUGGCGGGGUAACGGCCCACCAAGGCAACGAUCAGUAGGGGUUCUGAGAGGAAGGUCCCCCACAUUGGAACUGAGACACGAUCCAAACUCCUACGGGAGGCAGCA